rnacentral:tRNA from 6 species
GCCGAUGUAGCUCAGUUGGUAGAGCAGCUGAUUUGUAAUCAGCAGGUCAUCCGUUCGAACCGGAUCAUCGGCUCCA